UUUUAUUUGAGAGUUUGAUCCUGGCUCAGGAUGAACGCUGGCGGCGUGCCUAACACAUGCAAGUUGAGCGAUUUACUUCGGUAAAGAGCGGCGGACGGGUGAGUAACGCGUGGGUAACCUACCCUGUACACACGGAUAACAUACCGAAAGGUAUGCUAAUACGGGAUAAUAUAUUUGAGAGGCAUCUCUUAAAUAUCAAAGGUGAGCCAGUACAGGAUGGACCCGCGUCUGAUUAGCUAGUUGGUAAGGUAACGGCUUACCAAGGCGACGAUCAGUAGCCGACCUGAGAGGGUGAUCGGCCACAUUGGAACUGAGACACGGUCCAAACUCCUACGGGAGGCAGCAGUGGGGAAUAUUG
rnacentral:rRNA from 1 species